GUUUUUUUCCUUAAUUUUUUUUAGAGAAAAUCGAUAACAAACGGAGCCCAAAUGCAACGAAACGUUUUGACGAUUUUUCUUGGACAAGAAGACACCCACAAAGCUUCGGCAGGAGGCCAGAAGAGCCAUGAGGUGGCCACAAGCCAGUAGGCCGUGCCCUAGGGGGGCGCCUCCAGGGCUUGUGGGCCCCGUGGAGCUCCUCCAACUCUAAUCUCAGCUCUAUAAAUUCUCAAAUAUUCCCCGUAUACCAGAGGGCACACCAAAAAUACUUUUCCGCCGCAGCAAGUUUCUGUCCUCGUGAGAUCCCAUCUGGAGACCUGUUACUGUACUCUGCCGGAGGGGGAUUCAAUCAAGUAGGUCCUCGACAUCAACCUUGCUACCCUACCAAUGAUGCGUGAGUAGUUUACAACAGACAUACAGGUAUAUAGCUAGUAGCUAGAUGGCAUCUUCUCUCUCUUUGAUCUUCAAUACAAUGUUCUCCUCGAUGUUCUUGGAGAUCUAUUCGAUGUAAUCUUCUUUUGCGAUGCGUUUGUUGAGAUAUGAUGAAUUGUAGAUUUAUGAUCAGAUUAUCUAUGAAUAUUUUUUGAGUCUUCUCUGAACUCUUUUAUGCAUGAUUAAGACAGCUUUGUAUUUCUCUCCGAACUAUUGAUUUGGUUUGCCCAACUAGAUUGAUUUUUCUUGCAAUGGGGAGGUGCUUUGUGAUGGGUUCAAUCUUGCGGUGUCCUCACCCAGUGUCAAAAGGGGUAGCGAGGAACAUAUUUGUAUUGUUGCCUUGAAGGACAAAAAUAUUGGGUUUAUUUCAUAUUGAUUGGAUCUAUCCCUCUAUGUCAUGUCAACUUGCUUAAGGCAUUACUCCAUUCUUGUUAACUUAAUACACUAGAUGCUUGCUGGAUAGCGGUCGAUGUGUGUAGUAAUAGUAGUAAAUGUAGGCAGGAGUCGGUCUACUUGUCAUGGACGUGAUUCCUAUAUUCAUGAUCAUUUCCUUAGAUAUCGUCAUAACUUUGCACUUUUCUAUCAAUUGCUCAACAGUAAUUUGUUUACCCAGCGUAUGCGUUCUUUCAAGAGAGAAGCCUGUAGUGAAAACUAUGGUCCCCGGGUCUAUUCAUAUCAUACUAUUUUAAGAUCUAUAAAACCAAAAACACAAAAAUACCUUGCUGCAUAUUAUUUACCUUUACUUUAUUUUGCACUUUUAUUUAUCUUCUAUACCUAUCUCUAUCAGAUCUCAUCCUUGCAAGUAACCAUGAAGGGAUUGACAACCCCUUUAUCACGUUGGGUGCAAGUAUUUGUUUGUUUGUGCAGGUGCUAUAAUUGGAGACUUGUGUGUUCCUCCUAUUGGAUUGAUACCUUGUUUCUUAACUAAGGGAAAUACUUAUCUCUACUUCGCUACAUCACCCUUUUCUCUUCAAGGGAAAAACCAAUGCAAGCUCAAGAAGUAGUAGGAAGACUUUCUGGCGCCGUUACCAGGGAGGUUCUACAUCAAGCCUACCAAGUACCCGUCACACACUCUCAUCUCUUGCAUUUACAUUAUUCGACAUUUGCCUCUCGUUUUCCUCUCCCCCACUUCUAAAACAUUUUCAGAACACAACAAUAUUUGCCUUUUUCCGUUUGCCUUUUAUUUUGCCUUUAUGUCUUACUUGGUUUGUUUGCUUGUUCGCUUGGUAUAAUUGUAUGUUUAUUGAAAAUUAGAAAACAAAAAGCUUAUCGAUCCUCAUCCACUUUCUAAUAUUUUUAAAAUAUCCAGUUAUGACAAACCAAUUGCUAGUGAGUUAUGUGCACUAGAUUGUCUUUAUGAAGUUUUGCUUGAAACUCGUCAAUCUGGAAAGUGUGAUGAAGUGCUAAAAGAAGGAAAUUAUAGAGUGAUUCAUGAUAGCACCUUGAAUGAAAAGAAUGAUUGCAAUGAUGUUAUUAUAAAUUAUAUUAAUGUAAGUUGUGCUAAGAAUAUGAAAAACCCCAAGCUUGGGGAUGCUAAUUUUGCUAUGUCCACUACUUAUUGCAAUGAUCAUGAUUGGGAUGAUAAUGCUUCUUAUGAUCUUCAAAUUUUACUUAAGCCUCAUGAUGAACAUGUUUGCCAUAAUAUUGAAAGUGGAUUUGGAAGAGCGUCAAAUUUAGGUAAAAAUAAUACCACAUAUUUGGAGAAUGUUCAAUCUUAUGAAAAUUUUGAUAAAAGUGAGCUUGGAGAAGUCAUGACUUUAUUUUAUGAUAAUCCCACUAUUUUGGAAGAGUGUCAACUUUUCAUGCAUGUGGAUCAUGUAGAGAAUAUGUUAUGUGAUAGCUAUAUUGUUGGAUUUGAUUAUGAUCCUACAUGUCAUUAUUAUGAGAGAGGAAAGUAUGGUUGUGAAAAUCUUCAUGCUACUAAAUUACCUCUCAUUAUCUUGAGAUUGCUAUUGUUUCUUUCUUCCUCUUUGCAUAUGCUAGUUUCUCCUUGCCUUGAUAGUUUGUUUGUUGUUUCAAUUUUUUGUCUUUCAUGUGAUGAUCAUUAAAAUUAUCAAUGCCUAGCUAAAAGGCUUUAAAGAAAAUCUCUUGUUGGGAGACAACUCAAUAUUUUCAUUUUCUAUUUUAUGAGUUUAUGUAAUUAUACUUCUGUUAUGAUUGUGUUUUAGUGUUUUAAUUAGUGUUUGUGCCAAGUAAGACCUUUGGGAUGGUUUGGAAGAUUGUUGAUUUGAUUCUGUGAGAAAAUAGAAACUUUUGCGCCCAGUAACAGAAUUGAGCUGAUCUGCUAGAGUGAUGAAAAUUCUAAUUUUUCCACUUUAUUGAUAUACAAAUACCCCACGUUUUCCUAAUUUUUCAGAAUUUUCGAGUGAUAGAAGUUUGGCUAAAAUCCACAUUACUGCAGACUGUUCUGUUUUUGACAGAUUCUGUUUUCAUUGUGUUGUUUGCUUAUUUUGAUGAAUCUAUGGGUAGUAUCGGGUGGGGGGUAUGAACUAUGGAGAACUUAGAAUAGAGUAUAUAUAACACCAAUAUAAAAUUGGAAUGAGUUUACAACAGUACCUAUCAGUUGAUAUUUGCUUUGUUUCACUAACGGAGCUCACGAGUUUUUUUGUUGAGUUUUGUGUUGUGAAGUUUUCAUGUUUUGGGUGAAGUUUCGAUGGACUACAGAAUAAGGAGUGGCAAGAGCCUGAGCUUAGGGAUGCCCACGGCACCCCAAGGUUAUACUUAAGGACAACCAAGCAUCUAAGCUUGGGGAUGCCUCGGAUGGCAUCCCCUCUUUUGUCUUCAAUCCAUCGGUAAAAUUACUUGAGGCUAUAUUUUUAUUCACCACAUGAUAUGUGUUUUGCUUGGAGCUCCUUGUAUUAUAUGAGUCUUUGCUUUUUAGUUUUCCACAAUCAUCCUUGUUGUACACACCUUUUUAGAGGGACAAACAUUGAUCGUGGAUUUAUUAGAAUACUCUAUGUGCUUCACUUAUAUCUUUUGAUCUAGGUAGUUGCUCUAGUGCUUCACUUAUAUCUUUUUAGAGCACGGCGGUGGUUUUAUUUUGAACAAUUUGAUGAACUCUCAUGCUUCACAUACAUUAUUUUGAGAGUCUUAUAAAUAGUAUGACGAUUUUCUUAGGUUAUGAAUUUAGUCCUAUUAUGAUGGUAUUCAAGAGGGAUAUAAUAAAAACUUAAAUGAAGACCAUUGAAUAUAUGAGAAGUUUGAUUCCAUGCAUUUGUUUUGAGAUAUAAAGAUGGUGAUAUUAGAGUAAUGCUAGUGAGUAAUAGUGGAUGUGUGAAUAUCAUACGGAAACUAACAUUCCGUCAAAACCGAUGAAAACCAUGAGAAAAAGAUGUUUUGAAAUUUCAAAAAAAAUUGAAAAAAUGCGGGAUGUUAAGAGGAUGAUGUUUUAUUGCCAAAAUAUCAAGUUGAAAUACAUUAUGAGAUGUGAGCUAGGAAAAAGACAAAAUCAGCGUUGAAUACUGCCGAAUAGUAAUGUCACUAUUUAGGGAUGAAUUUGUCUUUUUUUCAUAGCUCACAUCUCGUAAUGUUUUUCAACUUGAAAUUUUGUGUAGCAUUAAAACAUCACCUUCUUAACAUCCCACAUUUUUUCAGAUUUUUUUGAAACAUUAAAAUAUGGUUUCCAUGAAGUUUUCAUUGAAUAUUGGUUUCCGUAUGAUAUUCUCCCAUUGUGGAUUAGUAAGAAUAUUUGUGUUAAGGUUUGUGAUUCCCGAAGCAUGCACAUAUGGUCUCUAGUUAUGCGAUGAAGUUGGAGCAUGAUUUAUUUUUGAUUGUCUUCCUUAUGAGUGGCGGUCGGGGACAAGCGAUGGUCUUUUCGUAGCAAUCUAUCCCCAUAGGAGAAUGCAUAUUAGUACUUUGUUUCCAUGCCUAAUAAACUUUUGCAAUAAGUAUGUGAGUUCUUUAUGGCUAAUGUGGAGUCCAUAGAUUAUACACACUCUCACCCUUCCACCAUUGCUAGCCUUUCCGGUACCGUGCAUUGCACUUUCUCACCUUAGAGUUGGUGCAAACUUCGCCGGUGCAUCCAAACCCCAUGAUAUGAUACGCUCUUUCACACAUAAGCCGCCUUAUAUCUUCCUGAAAACAGCCAUCAUACCUACCUAUUAUGGCAUUUCCAUAGCCAUUCCGAGAUAUAUUGCCAUUAAACUUCCACCGUUCCGUUUUAUUAUGACACACACCAUCAUUGUCAUAUUGCUUUCAUAUGCAUGAAGCAUUUAUAUAGAGUCAUAUCUUUGAGUUGUAAUUUUUGAGUUGUAAGUAAAUAAAACUGUGAUGAUGAUCACUAUUAGAACAUUGUCCCAUGUGAGGAAAGGAUGAUGGAGACUAUGAUUCCCCCACAAGUCGGGAUGAGACUCCAGACUUAAACAAAAUAAAAAAAGAGCCCAAAAAAGAGAGAUAAAAGGAGAGAAGGGACAAUCUGACUAUUCUUUUCCGCACUUGUGCUUCAAAGUAGCACCAUGUUCUUCAUGAUAGAGAGAGUCUCCUAUUUUGUCACUUUCAUAUAUUACUAGUGGGAAUUUUUCAUUAUAGAACUUGGCUUGUAUAUCCCAGUGACGGGCUUCCUCAAAAUGCCCUAGGUCUUCAUGAGCAAGCGAGUUGGAUGCACACCCACUUAGUUUUAUUUCGAGCUUUCAUACACUUAUAGAUCUAGUGCAUCCGUUUCAUGGCAAUACCUACUUCCUUGCAUUGACAUAAACUGAUGGGCAUCUGCAUAGCCCAUUGAUUAGCCUUGUCAAUGUGAGACUUUCUUCGUUUUUGUCUUCUCCACACAACCUCCACCAUGACAUUCUAUUCCACCUAUAGUGCUAUAUCCAUGGCUCACGCUCAUGUAUUGCGUGAAAGUUGAAAAAGUUUGAGAACGUCAAAAGUAUGAAACAAUUGCUUGGCUUGUCAUCGGUGUUGUGCAUGAUAAAUACUUUGUGUGAUGAAGAUAGAGCCUGACAAGAUUAUAUGAUUUUAUAGGGAUAACUUUCUUUAGCCAUGAUAUUUCGAGAAGACAUGAUUGAUUUAUUAGUAUGCUUGAGGUAUUAUUGUUUUUAUCUCAAUAUUAAACUUUUGUUUUGAAUCUUAUGGAUCUGAAUAUUCAUGCCAAACAAAGAAAGAUUACAUUGAUCAGCAUGUUAGGUAGCAUUCCAUCAAAAAUUCUAUUUUUAUCUUUUACCUACUCGAGGACGAGCAAGAAUUAAGCUUGGGGAUGCUCGAUACGUCUCCAAUGUAUCUAUAAUUUUUGAUUAUUCCAUGCUAUUAUAUUAUCCAUCUUGGAUGUUUUAUAUGCAUUAUUAUGCUAUUUUAUAUCAUUUUUGGAACUAACCUAUUAACCUAGUGCCCAGUGCCAGUGUUGUUUUUCCUUGUUUUUGUCUUUUACAGAGAAUCAAUACCAAACUAAAUGAAACUCUUUGAUGAUUUUACUUAGACAAGAAGACACCCACGAAGCUUCAGGAGGAGGCCAGAAGAGCCACGAGGUGGCCACAAGUCAGGAGGCCGCGCCCUAGGGGGGCGCCUCCAGGGCUUGUGGGCCCCCUGGAGCUCCUCCA
rnacentral:lncRNA from 1 species